rnacentral:rRNA from 1 species
AUUGAACGCUGGCGGCAGGCCUAACACAUGCAAGUCGAGCGAGCGGCGGACGGGGGAGUAAUGUCUGGGAACCUGCCGGAUGGAGGGGGAUAACUACUGGAAACGGUAGCUAAUACCGCAUAACAUCAGAUGUGCCGAGAUGGGAUUAGCUAGUAGCGGGGGUAACGGCUCACCUAGGCGACGAUCCCUAGCUGGUCUGAGAGGAUGAGCAGCCACACUGGAACUGAGACACGGUCCAGACUCCUACGGGAGGCAGCAGUGGGGAAUAUUGGGCAAUGGGCGCAAGCCUGAUGCAGCCAUGCCGCGUGAGUGAAGAAGGCCUUCGGGUUGUAAGGCACUGUCAGCGGGGAGGCGUUACCCACAGAGGAAGCACCGGCUAACUCCGUGCCAGCAGCCGCGGUAAUUC